CUACGACCAUAUCACGUUGAGACACCGGCCCCCGUACGAUCAACAAAGUUAAGGAACGUCGAGUCUGGUCAGUAUCUAGAUGGGUAACCGCUUGGGAAUAAAAAGUGCUGUAAU